UGAAUUCCAGAACACAGGGACCACUGAAGGCCUCCUCUUUGUCUACCUGUUCCAGUACAUUUAUGACCACCUAAGCAAUACAUAGUCAGACAAGCCUUAUCACUUAUUCUGCCCUUAAGCACCCCCGUGUCUUUCAUCUAUUUUUGUUCCUCCCGGCAGAAUAUCUAAUUUUACUUCUCUAAAGAGGAAGUGCAUUCAGACUAAUCUGCUGAAGAGGAAACAAUUACAAACAGAAGUAAAAUGAACUGCCAAAUCCACUGAACUGCAACAGAAGAAAGAAUGUCAACACUGGAACAAUGGAGAGGAGGAGAAGAGGGAGUAAUGGGUGGGUGAGUGGGGACAGUGAGUCUGCUAGUUUGCAUUUAUUUCAAGUCACACACUCUUGGAAGUUGACCAAAUUGCUAAAGAAAAAUUAGGUCAUUUUGUUCAGUUGCUUCUCUGUCAGAUUUUUAAUUCAAUAAAAUGUAAUCAUGUUCAUGAUUAAAAAUAUGGCAAAUGCAA